rnacentral:rRNA from 1 species
GACGAACGCUGGCGGCGUGCUUAACACAUGCAAGUCGAACGGAAAGGCCUGCUUUCCCUUGUGGAUUGCGGGUACUCGAGUGGCGAACGGGUGAGUAACACGUGAGUGAUCUGCCCCCAACUUGGGUAUAAGCCUGGGAAACUGGGUCUAAUUCCCGAUAGGACUGCAGGGUGGUGCCUGUGGUGGAAAACGAUUUUCUAGUGGUUGGGGAUGAGCUCGCGGCCUAUCAGCUUGUUGGUGGGGUAAUGGCCUACCAAGGCGGCGACGGGUAGCCGGCCUGAGAGGGUGGACGGCCACAUUGGGACUGAGAUACGGCCCAGACUCCUACGGGAGGCAGAAGUGGGGAAUAUUGCACAAUGGGCGGAAGCCUGAUGCAGCGACGCCGCGUGGGGGAUGACGGCCUUCGGGUUGUAAACUCCUUUCGACCGCGAGGAAGCCACCUGGUUGGAAGGGUGGUGACGGUAGUGGUAGAAGAAGCACCGGCUAACUACGUG